rnacentral:rRNA from 1 species
CUACGGGACGCUGCAGUGAGGAAUUUUGCGCAAUGGGGGAAACCCUGACGCAGCAACGCCGCGUGAGUGAAGAAGGCCUUUGGGUCGUAAAGCUCUGUCAACAGGGAAGAAGUUACGAUUGUUUAAUAGAUAAUUGUAUUGACGGUACCUGUGGAGGAAGCGCCGGCUAACUCCGUGCCAGCAGCCGCGGUAAUACGGGGGGCGCAAGCGUUAUUCGGAAUUAUUGGGCGUAAAGGGCGCGCAGGCGGGCUUGUCCGUCAGGGUUGAAAGCGCGGGGCUCAACCCCGGAAGUGCACUUGAACAGCAAGACUUGAAUACGGGAGAGGAGAGAGGAAUUCCUGGUGUAGAGGUGAAAUUCGUAGAUAUCAGGAGGAACACCGAUGGCGAAGGCAUCUCUCUGGACCGAUAUUGACGCUGAGGCGCGAAGGCGUGGGUAGCGAACGGGAUUAGAUACCCUCGUAGUC